AUGCACAAUCACAAUAAAUUUUCAAUUUUGCUAAGGACCAACGGUUUUUCGAAUGAGUUUCAUAGUCUGUAAUUUUUGUGAUUUUAUCCAGGAAAUAUAGGAGCUGUGGUGAUGAAAUUUUCCAACACAAAAGAAAAAGACAUAGAAGCAGUAUGGUAAUCAAAUACUGGCUGAAGUCUCCAAAAACUCGGUUUACCAGCAAAGAGAAAUCUAAAAAUGUUCAAACACCGGAUCCUGGAGGAAAAUCUGAAUGCUACAAAAAUUGAGAUUGAAUUGAGGUGCAGUAACAUAAACCAGUAUGUAGCUCAAAAAAUUGCUACUUUAAACAGGAAGAGAUUAAAGUAUUCUGGAGCACCACAAUAAGGACCUUUCUUAAUAGAUAAAUGACAUGCAUAUGAGUUAUUUUAAUAAACAAACUUCUCACAUUAUUUAUGUCUUAACUAUUUACA